rnacentral:rRNA from 1 species
GGACGACGCUGGCGGCGUGCUUAACACAUGCAAGUCGAACGGACCGAGUUGAUAGCUUGCUAUUGAUGAGGUUAGUGGCAAACGGGUGCGUAACGCGUAUGCAACCUACCCAUAACAGGGGGAUAACACUGAGAAAUUGGUACUAAUACCCCAUAAUAUCAUUGAUGGCAUCAUUGAUGGUUGAAAACUCCGGUGGUUAUGGAUGGGCAUGCGUUGUAUUAGCUAGUUGGUGAGGUAACGGCUCACCAAGGCGACGAUACAUAGGGGGACUGAGAGGUUAACCCCCCACAUUGGUACUGAGACACGGACCAAACUCCUACGGGAGGCAGCAGUGAGGAAUAUUGGUCAAUGGGCGAGAGCCUGAACCAGCCAAGUAGCGUGAAGGAAGACUGCCCUAUGGGUUGUAAACUUCUUUUGUUCGGGAAUAAAGUGCAGUAUGUAUACUGUUUUGUAUGUACCGUUCGAAUAAGCAUCGGCUAAUUCCGUG